CAGUCGCCACGGUAAUACGAAGGGUGCAAGCGUUACUCGGAAUUACUGGGCGUAAAGGGCGCGUAGGCGGCACGAUUAGUCAGGCGUGAAAUUCCUGGGCUCAACCUGGGGACUGCGCUUGAUACGGUCGAGCUAGAGGAUGGAAGAGGGUCGUGGAAUUCCCAGUGUAGAGGUGAAAUUCGUAGAUAUUGGGAAGAACACCGGUGGCGAAGGCGGCGACCUGGUCCAUUACUGACGCUGAGGCGCGACAGCGUGGGGAGCAAACAGGAUUAGAUACCCCGGUAGUCCCUGUCUCUUAUAC
rnacentral:rRNA from 1 species